GGGACUUGGUGGCUUUGUGGUAAAAGCCUUGCCUCUGAGGUUAGAGGUUGCUAGUUCAAAUCUGGCUUGUCCCC